UACGGAGGAUCCAAGCGUUAUCCGGAUUUAUUGGGUUUAAAGGGUGCGUAGGCGGCUUUUUAAGUCAGGGGUGAAAGACGGUAGCUUAACUAUUGCAGUGCCCUUGAUACUGAAGAGCUUGAAUAUACUUGAGGUAGGCGGAAUGUGACAAGUAGCGGUGAAAUGCAUAGAUAUGUCACAGAACACCAAUUGCGAAGGCAGCUUACUAAGGUAUGAUUGACGCUGAGGCACGAAAGCGUGGGGAUCAAACAGG
rnacentral:rRNA from 1 species